rnacentral:rRNA from 1 species
CAUGCAGGCGGUCGUACGCGUUUCGGGUGACAGCGGGUGGCUUAACUACCCGAGUGUUCGAAAGACGGUACGACUUGAGGGCUCGAGAGGGACACGGAAUUCCGGGUGGGUGGUGAAAUGCGUAGAGAUCCGGAGGAACACCGAAGGCGAAGGCAGUGUCCUGGCGAGUGACUGACGCUGAGGUGCGAAAGCUAGGGGAGCGAAG